rnacentral:lncRNA from 1 species
AACUGGGUGAUUGGUACAGCAGUCUGCGCAGUUACAUCAGAAACAAAUCAAUGCAUCAUUUGACUAAAUACAGAGAUUACUCUGUGGAUCACCCAGGUCAUUAUCCCAUCUCCAAAAAGUCUCUGAACAUCUGAAACGUUCAAAAAUUCACCUUUUUUUUUUNUUUUUUCUUCGUUUACCGGANCAUACCGAAAUAGACGUAAGGUGCUUUUCCCGUACUCUCUCUCCCUCUCUUUCGGUCUCUCUCUCUCUCUCUCUCUCUCUCUCAAGAAGAGAGAAGAUGAAGACGUUGAUUUGAAUGAAAUCUUCUUCUUCUUCUUCUUUUUAAUUACAGGUUUGUUUCGUUCAGUUAUGGAGCUCAGUUCGGCUUCGAGCGGUUCGGUUCGGUUUGUCCCACUGCUGCGCUGCUCGCGUCUCUCAUCGUGCCGGAGAAAAGCCUCGGAUCGUCACGGAAAUGAGCUUUAAGAAAAGCGAGCAGGGAGGGAGAGGGCAGAGAUUGGAGAGACGGCGUUGGCGGAGAGGGUUGGGAUGGAGGAGGCACGAGCUGUUGAGUUCGCUGACUGCCGCACCGGGAGCGCGCGCGUAACCGUGUGUUCUCUCUCUCGCACUCUCUCUCUCUCUUUCUUCAUCAGCGAUGUAAUGUUAUUAUGGGGCGAUCUCAUCUCCGAUUUAUGUUCAGAGAAAUAAACUCCUUUUGGGGAGGGGCAGGUGGGAACCUGGGAGGUGGCUCAGGAGGAGGACGGACACCCGGGAGGGGGCCGGCAGACAGAGUCCAGGGAGGUGAUGAAGGAGGAAGGAGCCAGGAGGGACUUGGAGCAGGACUUGGAGCAGGAGGAGCCAAGCUGGACCCAGGCCACUGCCAUUACGGUGGCCCACGGUGGAGCUGAUGGAGGGCGGAGCCAUGGAGGAGGACUGGCCGCCGACUUCAGGGGGCUGACCAACAACGGCUGAGCAGGUGGCGGAGGAGCCCUAGGCGGAGACGGAAAGUCAUGAGCCAGGGGGAUGCCAAGGAUCUGGGGGGCCAGGGUGGAGCUGAGAUCUCUGGCGACUGAGGUUGGAGAUCCGGAGAUCUACGGCAGAGCCGGAGCGACUAAGGACCAAGGUGGAGCUGGCGGGAGGAAGGAGCCCAAUGGAGCCGGUGGGAUGGAGCGACGAGGUGCAGCCGGAGGAGCUGCAACUCUUCCUACAUAAAGUAGUGACGUAGACAUGUGGGGGUGUGUUUAAACAAGGCAUUUUAGGAGGGCGUGGACAAGUCUUAACUUUUAUAAAGAAUAUCUCUUUGGAUUUGAGACUUUAGUCUUUGCAACUUUACAGAUCGUCUUUAUGCACCAAGAGCUUGUAACACUCCAAAGAGAAAGGAAAAAUUGAAAUCGCAUCAUAUGACCCCUUUAACUUAUUGGGAGACAACCGGUAUGUUCUAUAUGAAAUCAUACAUUUGAGCACCCCCAUGUAGCCAAAAUGGCAUGAUCAUAACACCCCUUGAAUAUACGACUGUGAGAUUGGUAGUCAAAUCGGGCUCCUCCUAUCAAAGCAUCGAAUCGACGACUUUUCAGGGUCACCCCUAAUUUAUAUAUAUAUAUAUAUAUAUAUAUAUAUAUAUAUAUAUAUAUAUAUAAAUACACAUAGCCAAAAUUUAUAUACAAUAAUGGC